ACAAAAUUAAACCAACAUCAAAUUUCUCACAAAGAAAAGUAGUACCACCAAAUAUCCUCUGAUUAUACAUUACAAUGCAGAAAACUCAGAUAAACAGAAUUUAACAUUUAUUCAGUUAUUAUAUCUCCUAGCAAAUUGAACAACUUCUUGUUUUACAGACUCACUAACUUGAGUGUGUUUGCCUUCUCCUGCAAACUGUCAAGCAAGCUAUCGAAACUCUUCUUGAAAGAAUCCACACCCUCCAAUUCAAGUUGAGACCCGACAAAGCCCCAGUCAAUACCCAACUUCUCGAGGGCGCUGUAGAUACCUUCUGCUUCAGAUAAGUUUGCGUCAAUCGUCCUUGCAACAGAACCGUGAUCAAUAAAUGCUUGAAGAGCUUGGUCAGGCAUUGUUGAAACAGUGUCCGGUCCAAUCAGAGGAUCCACAUAUAAAGUGUCGGGAUACGCUGGGUUCUUAACACUAGUUGAGGCCCACAAUAGCCUCUGCUUCUUGGCACCUUUCUUUACCAACGCCUCCCAUCUAGGACCAGAAAAUUUCUUUUGGUAAAGAUCGUAAGCUAGAGCAGCCUGUGCAUUUGCAGCCUUCCCACGAAGAUCAAGAGCCUCUGGAGUUCCAAUUUUCUCAAGCAACUUGUCGAUAAGUGUGUCUACUCGACUAACGAAGAAUGAUGCAACACUUGUGACUCUGGAUAGAUCACUUAGCCCAGAGGCCUCAAGACCAUCAAGGUAAGCAUCAAUGACUGCUUCA
rnacentral:misc_RNA from 1 species